GUAGGUGGCAAGCGUUGUCCGGAAUUAUUGGGCGUAAAGCGCGCGCAGGCGGUCCUUUAAGUCUGAUGUGAAAGCCCACGGCUCAACCGUGGAGGGUCAUUGGAAACUGGGGGACUUGAGUACAGAAGAGGAAAGCGGAAUUCCAAGUGCAGCGGUGAAAUGCGUAGAGAUUUGGAGGAACACCAGUGGCGAAGGCGGCUUUCUGGUCUGUAACUGACGCUGAGGCGCGAAAGCGUGGGGAGCAAACAGGAUUAGAUACCCUGGUAGUCCACGCCGUAAACGAUGAGUGCUAAGUGUUAGGGGGGUUUCCGCCCCCCUUAGUGCUGCAGCUAACGCAUUAAGCACUCCGCCUGGGAGUACGGCCGCAAGGCUG
rnacentral:rRNA from 1 species